GAUGAACGCUGGCGACAGGCCUAACACAUGCAAGUCGAGCGAGCGGCGGACGGGUGAGUAAUGUCUGGGAAACUGCCUGAUGGAGGGGGAUAACUACUGGAAACGGUAGCUAAUACCGCAUACCAUCAGAUGUGCCCAGAUGGGAGUAGCUAGUAGGUGGGGUAAUGGCUCACCUAGGCGACGAUCCCUAGCGGGGCUGAGAGGAUGACCGGCCACACUGGUACUGAGCCACGGUCCAGGCUCCUACGGGAGGCAGCAUUGGGGAGUAUUGCACAUGGGGGGCAAGCCUGAUGCAGCCAUGCCGCGUGGAUGAAGAAGGCCUUCGGGUUGUAAAGUACUUUCAGCGGGGAGGCGUUACCCGCAGAAGAAGCACCGGCUAACUCCGUGCCAGCAGCCGCGGUAAUAC
rnacentral:rRNA from 1 species